rnacentral:rRNA from 1 species
AUUGAACGCUGGCGGCAUGCCUUACACAUGCAAGUCGAACGGUAACAGGUCUUCGGAUGCUGACGAGUGGCGAACGGGUGAGUAAUACAUCGGAACGUGCCCGAUCGUGGGGGAUAACGCAGCGAAAGCUGUGCUAAUACCGCAUACGAUCUACGUAUGAAAGCGGGGGAUCGCAAGACCUCGCGCGGACGGAGCGGCCGAUGGCAGAUUAGGUAGUUGGUGGGAUAAAAGCUUACCAAGCCGACGAUCUGUAGCUGGUCUGAGAGGACGACCAGCCACACUGGGACUGAGACACGGCCCAGACUCCUACGGGAGGCAGCAGUGGGGAAUUUUGGACAAUGGGCGCAAGCCUGAUCCAGCCAUGCCGCGUGCAGGAUGAAGGCCUUCGGGUUGUAAACUGCUUUUGUACGGAACGAAAAAGCUCUCUCUAAUACAGGGGGUGAAUGACGGUACCGUAAGAAUAAGCACCGGCUAACUACGUG